rnacentral:rRNA from 1 species
GAUGAACGCUGGCGGCGUGCUUAAUACAUGCAAGUCGAACGGAAGGGCGAGAAGCUUGCGGGGCUGUUGUGAGGGGCGGACGGGCGAGUAACACGUGGAUAACCCACUUAUAAGACUGGUAAAACUUCGGGAAACCGGAGCUAACACCGGAGAAGAUUUUGAAGCGCAGGGUUGAAAGGUGAAAGACGGCCUUGCGGUCACUUAUAGAUGGAUCCCGGCUGCAUUAGCGGGUUGGUAAGGUAACGGCUUACCAAGGCAACGAUGCAUAGCCGACCUGAGGGGGUGGUCGGCCACCCUGGAACGUAGCCACGGUCCAGGCUCCUACGGGACGCCGCAGUCGGGUAUCUUCCGCAAUGGGGGGAAGCAUUGCGGAGUAACGGCGCGUGAGUGACGAAAGUCCUCCGAUCGUAAAACCCUGUUAUUGGUGAAGAACCGCUGUGUACGUUACCGUGCACAUCUUGACGGUAACUAAUAAGAAAGCCCCGGCUAACUACGUG